UGCAUUGGCCGGGAAUCGAACCCGGGCCGCCGCCGCGUGGCAGGCGAGCAUUCUACACUGAACCACCGAUGC